GGGCCCGUAGCCUAGUGGACAGGGCACCAGCCUUCUAAGCUGGUGAUCGCGGGUUCAAAUCCCGCCGGGUCCG
rnacentral:tRNA from 1 species